UACCUGGUUGAUCCUGCCAGUAGUCAUAUGCUUGUCUCAAAGAUUAAGCCAUGCAUGUCUAAGUAUAAGCUUCUAUACGGCGAAACUGCGAAUGGCUCAUUAAAACAGUUAUAGUUUAUUUGAUGGUCACUCACUACUUGGAUAACCGUGGUAAUUCUAGAGCUAAUACAUGCGAAAAGACCCGACUUCUCGGAAGGGUUGUGUUUAUUAGAUACAGAACCAACCCAGGUUUUACCUGGUGUUUUGGUGAUUCAUAGUAACCGAGCGAAUCGCAUGCCUCCGGGCGGCGAUGGAUCAUUCAAGUUUCUGACCUAUCAGCUUCCGACGGUAGGGUAUUGGCCUACCGUGGCUUUGACGGGCAACGGAGAAUUAGGGUUCGAUUCCGGAGAGGGAGCCUGAGAAACGGCUACCACAUCUAAGGAAGGCAGCAGGCGCGCAAAUUACCCAAUCCUGACACAGGGAGGUGGUGACAAGAAAUAACAAUAUAGGACUUCGGUUCUGUAAUUGGAAUGAGUAGAAUUUAAAUCCCUUUACGAGUAUCAAUUGGAGGGCAAGUCUGGUGCCAGCAGCCGCGGUAAUUCCAGCUCCAAUAGC
rnacentral:rRNA from 1 species